GCCCGGGUGGCGGAAUGGUAUACGCGCGACACUUAAAAUGUCGUGAGCCUUUGGCUCAUGCGGGUUCGAGUCCCGCCCCGGGCACCA
rnacentral:tRNA from 1 species